UGGGGAAUAUUGGACAAUGGGCGCAAGCCUGAUCCAGCCAUGCCGCGUGAGUGAUGACGGCCUUAGGGUUGUAAAGCUCUUUCGCGAGGGAUGAUAAUGACGGUACCUGAAGAAUAAGCACCGGCUAACUACGUGCCAGCAGCCGCGGUAAUACGUAGGGUGCAAGCGUUAAUCGGGAUUACUGGGCGUAAAGCGUGCGCAGGCGGUUAUGUAAGACAGGUGUGAAAUCCCCGGGCUUAACCUGGGAAUGGCAUUUGUGACUGCAUGGCUAGAGUGUGUCAGAGGGGGGUAGAAUUCCACGUGUAGCAGUGAAAUGCGUAGAGAUGUGGAGGAAUACCGAUGGCGAAGGCAGCCCCCUGGGAUAACACUGACGCUCAUGCACGAAAGCGUGGGGAGCAAACAGGAUUAGAUACCCUGGUAGUCCACGCCCUAAACGAUGUCUACUAGUUGUCGGGUCUUAAUUGACUUGGUAACGCAGCUAACGCGUGAAGUAGACCGCCUGGGGAGUACGGUCGCAAGAUUA
rnacentral:rRNA from 1 species